rnacentral:rRNA from 2 species
AUUGAACGCUGGUGGCAUGCUUAACACAUGCAAGUCGAACGGUAACAGGUCUUCGGAUGCUGACGAGUGGCGGACGGGUGAGUAACGCGUAGGAAUCUGCCCAUCUGUGGGGGAUACCAGUUGGAAACGACUGUUAAUACCGCAUAAUAUCUGCGGAUUAAAGGUGGCCUUUGCGCUGCCGCAGAUGGAUGAGCCUGCGUUGGAUUAGCUAGUUGGUGGGGUAAGGGCCUACCAAGGCUACGAUCCAUAGCUGAUUUGAGAGGAUGAUCAGCCACAUUGGGACUGAGACACGGCCCAAACUCCUACGGGAGGCAGCAGUGGGGAAUAUUGGACAAUGGGGGAAACCCUGAUCCAGCAAUGCCAUGUGUGUGAAGAAGGCUCUAGGGUUGUAAAGCACUUUAGUUGGGGAGGAAAGCCUGUGAGUUAAUAGCUUGCAGGAAGGACGUUGCCCAAAGAAUAAGGACCGGCUAACUCCGUGCCAGCAGCCGCGGUAAUACGGGGGGUCCGAGCGUUAAUCGGAAUUACUGGGCGUAAAGGGUCUGUAGGUGGUUUGUUAAGUCAGAUGUGAAAGCCCAGGGCUCAACCUUGGAACUGCAUUUGAUACUGACAAACUAGAGUAUGGUAGAGGAAUAGGGAACUUCUGGUGUAGCGGUGAAAUGCGUAGAGAUCAGAAGGAACACCAAUGGCGAAGGCAACAUUCUGGACCAAUACUGACACUGAGGGACGAAAGCGUGGGGAUCAAACAGGAUUAGAUACCCUGGUAGUCCACGCUGUAAACGAUGAGUACUAGCUGUUGGAUUCGGUGUAAAGGAUCUAGUGGCGCAGCUAACGCGUUAAGUACUCCGCCUGGGGACUACGGCCGCAAGGCUAAAACUCAAAGGAAUUGACGGGGACCCGCACAAGCGGUGGAGCAUGUGGUUUAAUUCGAUGCAACGCGAAGAACCUUACCUGGUCUUGACAUCCUGCGAACUUUCUAGAGAUAGAUUGGUGCCUUCGGGAACGCAGUGACAGGUGCUGCACGGCUGUCGUCAGCUCGUGUUGUGAAAUGUUGGGUUAAGUCCCGCAACGAGCGCAACCCCUAUUGAUAGUUACCAUCAUUAAGUUGGGUACUCUAUUGAGACUGCCGCUGACAAGGCGGAGGAAGGUGGGGACGACGUCAAGUCAUCAUGGCCCUUACGACCAGGGCUACACACGUGCUACAAUGGGUAUUACAGAGGGCUGCGAAGGUGCGAGCUGGAGCGAAACUCAGAAAGGUACUCUUAGUCCGGAUUGCAGUCUGCAACUCGACUGCAUGAAGUCGGAAUCGCUAGUAAUCGCAGGUCAGAAUACUGCGGUGAAUACGUUCCCGGGUCUUGUACACACCGCCCGUCACACCAUGGGAGUGGGUUGCUCCAGAAGUAGAUAGCUUAACGAAUGGGCGUUUACCACGGAGUGAUUCAUAACUGGGGUGAAGUCGUAACAAGGUAGCCGUAGGGGAACC